UGCAAGUCGAACGAGAAAUUCCGAUUCGUCGGGAGAGUAAAGUGGCGCACGGGUGAGUAAGAUGAGGGUAAUCUACCCUUAAAUUAGGGAUAACUCUGCGAAAGCGGAGCUAAUACCUGAUAAGACUACGGUUUGUGAGCAGACUGUAGUAAAAGGUGGCCUCUGAUUUAAGCUGCUGUUUAAGGAUGAGCCCUCAUACUAUUAGCUAGUUGGUGAGGUAAUGGCUCACCAAGGCGACGAUGGUUAGCUGGUCUGAGAGGAUGACCAGCCACACCGGCACUGAGACACGGGCCAGACUCCUACGGGAGGCAGCAGUGAGGAAUAUUGCGCAAUGGGGGAAACCCUGACGCAGUGACGCCGCGUGAGUGACGAAGGCCUUCGGGUUGUAAAGCUCUGUGAGGUGGGAAGAAACGUUCCAGUGUCAAUACCACUGGAAUUUGACGGUACCACCAGAGGAAGCACCGGCUAACUCCGUGCCAGCAGCCGCGGUAAUACGGAGGGUGCAAGCGUUGUUCGGAAUUACUGGGCGUAAAGAGCGUGUAGGCGGUUAAGUAAGUCAGAUGUGAAAUCCCUCGGCUCAACUGAGGAAGUGCAUUUGAAACUAUUUAACUGGAGUACAGGAGGGGAAAGUGGAAUUCCCAGUGUAGAGGUGAAAUUCGCAGAUAUUGGGAGGAACACCAGUGGCGAAGGCGGCUUUCUGGCCUGAUACUGACGCUGAGACGCGAAAGCGUGGGGAGCAAACAGGAUUAGAUACCCUGGUAGUCCACGCCGUAAACGAUGGGCACUAGGUGUAGGAAGUGUUGACCCUUUCUGUGCCGAAGCUAACGCAUUAAGUGCCCCGCCUGGGGAGUACGGUCGCAAGGCUAAAACUCAAAGGAAUUGACGGGGGCCCGCACAAGCGGUGGAGCAUGUGGUUUAAUUCGACGCU
rnacentral:rRNA from 1 species